rnacentral:rRNA from 1 species
CGAGUGAAGCGGGAAGAUCUCAAGCUUAAAAUCUGGGGCGCUUGUUUCGUCUUCAGAAUUGUAGUUGAGAGAAGUGUUUUCACCGGGACGACGGAUGGCCUAAGUUGCUUGGAACAGCACGUCAUAGAGGGUGAGAAUCCCGUCUGUGGUUGGUCGGUCGGCCGGAAUGAUGCACUUUCGAAGAGUCGGGUUGUUUGGGAAUGCAGCCCCAAAUGGGUGGUAAACUCCAUCUAAAGCUAAACAUGGCCACGAGACCGAUAGCGAAGAAGUACCGUGAGGGAAAGAUGAAAAGCACUUUGAAAAGAGAGUUAAAAGCACGUGAAACCGUUGAAAGGGAAACGCGCUCGGCUAGUAAUGUACGUUGGUGGUUCAGCCGGCUAGUCUUGUCGAGUCGUCGUGUGGUGGAUCCGACUGGACCGUCCGCGGUGGUGUCGGCGGGCGAGCUGUGGUGCACUCUACGGACGUGCGCGUCAGCGUCGGUUCUCGAUGGGCGAUAAGGUGCGUGGGGGAAGGUGGCUCGGUCCUUGGGAACUGAGUGUUACAGACCCUGGUGCUGGGCUCGUCGUGGGACCGAGGAGAGAGAGAGAUGAUCGCUGCGGCACCUGCCCCGUUGUCAUUUUUCGGGGCUAGCCAGCCGUUUGUCAGGUGUGCGUCGGACGUUGAGGACUGCACGCAGUGCUGGACGUGGAGGCGUGAUCUGAUGGCGGUGUGGGCAUUAGAGGUGCCUAGGACGCUGGCGUCCAAAUGGCCGUGCGCGACCCGUCUUGAAACACGGACCAAGGAGUCUAACAUGUGCGCGAGUCUUAGGGUGUGCAAGCCCUCGGGCGCAAUGAAAGUGAAGGCUCGGCGGCGCUAGUCGAGCUGAGGUGAGAGCCGUGGCCGUUGCAUGUGGCGGCGGCGGCGCAUCAUCGGCCGGUCCAUCCUGCUCUCAGGGGGAUCCGAGCAAGAGCGUAUUUGUUGGGACCCGAAAGAUGGUGAACUAUGCCUGAAUAGGGUGAAGCCAGAGGAAACUCUGGUGGAGGCUCGUAGCGAUUCUGACGUGCAAAUCGAUCGUCAAAUUUGGGUAUAGGGGCGAAAGACUAAUCGAACCAUCUAGUAGCUGGUUCCCUCCGAAGUUUCCCUCAGGAUAGCUGGAGCUCUUGGACACAGUUUUAUCAGGUAAAGCGAAUGAUCAGAGGUCUUGGGGGUGAAACACCCUCAACCUAUUCUCAAACUUUAAAUCGGUAAGAAGCGCGACUUGCUGAAUUGAAGCCGCGCGCAAGCAAUGUGAGUUCCAAGUGGGCCAUUUUUGGUAAGCAGAACUGGCGAUGCGGGAUGAACCGAACGCUGGGUUAAGGUGCCAAAGUCGACGCUCAUCAGACCCCAGAAAAGGUGUUGGUUGAUAUAGACAGCAGGACGAUGGCCAUGGAAGUCGGAAUCCGCUAAGGAGUGUGUAACAACUCACCUGCCGAAUCAACUAGCCCUGAAAAUGGAUGGCGCUCAAGCGUCGCACCUAUACCGGGCCGUCGUCGCAAAUGCCAGGCGACGACGAGUAGGAGGGCGCAGUGGUCGUCAUGCAGCCCUUGGCGUGAGCCUGGGUCAAACGGCCUCUGGUGCAGAUCUUGGUGGUAGUAGCAAAUAUUCAAAUGAGAGCUUUGAAGACCGAAGUGGAGAAAGGUUCCAUGUGAACAGCAGUUGGACAUGGGUUAGUCGAUCCUAAGUGAUAGGGGAGCUCCGUAUGAAAGUGCGCAAUCGGCCCUGCUUGUGUCGCCUUGCGCCACCUAUCGAAAGGGAAUCGGGUUAAUAUUCCCGAACCGGAAGGCGGAUUUUCUCUGGCUCUCGGGUCAGGAGCGGCAACGCUAGCGAACCGCGAGACGUCGGCGGGGGCUCCGGGAAGAGUUGUCUUUUCUUUUUAACGCAGUCGCCAUCCCUGGAAUCGGUUUGCCCGGAGAUAGGGUUGGCUGGCUCGGUAAAGCAGCACACUUCAUGUGCUGUCCGGUGCGCUCUCGACGGCCCUUGAAAAUCGCGGCGAGUGUAGUCUGAUUUUCGCAUCCGUUCGUACUCAUAACCGCAUCAGGUCUCCAAGGU